rnacentral:rRNA from 1 species
UAAUACAGAGGUCCCAAGCGUUGUUCGGAUUUACUGGGCGUAAAGGGAGCGUAGGUGGCGGGCAAAGUCCAAUGUGAAAGCUCUGAGCUCAACUCAGAAAUGGCAUUGGAUACUGGCUUGCUCGAGGAUUGGAGGGGAGACUGGAAUGCUCGGUGUAGCAGUGAAAUGCGUAGAUAUCGAGCGGAACACCAGUGGCGAAGGCGAGUCUCUGGACAAUUCCUGACACUGAUGCUCGAAAGCUAGGGGAGCAAACGGGAUUAGAUACCCCGGUAGUCCUAGCUGUAAACGGUGCGCGCUUGCUGUAGGUGGAUUCGACCCCGCCUGUAGCGAAGCUAACGCGUUAAGCGCGCCGCCUGGGAAGUACGGUCGCAAGAUU